rnacentral:rRNA from 1 species
GGGAGGAAAGUAGGGGAUCGUAAGACCUUGCGCUUUUGGAGCGGCCGAUGUCUGAUUAGCUAGUUGGUGAGGUAAAGGCUUACCAAGGCUUCGAUCAGUAGCUGGUCUGAGAGGACGACCAGCCACACUGGGACUGAGACACGGCCCAGACUCCUACGGGAGGCAGCAGUGGGGAAUUUUGGACAAUGGGGGAAACCCUGAUCCAGCCAUGCCGCGUGAGUGAAGAAGGCCUUCGGGUUGUAAAGCUCUUUCAGCCGGAACGAAAAGGUUACGGUUAAUACCCGUGACUAAUGACGGUACCGGAAGAAGAAGCACCGGCUAACUACGUGCCAGCAGCCGCGGUAAUACGUAGGGUGCGAGCGUUAAUCGGAAUUACUGGGCGUAAAGCGUGCGCAGGCGGUUUUGUAAGUCAGAUGUGAAAUCCCCGGGCUCAACCUGGGAACUGCGUUUGAAACUACAAAGCUAG